GACGAACGCUGGCGGCGUGCUUAACACAUGCAAGUCGAACGAAGUGGCGAACGGGUGAGUAACGCGUAAUCAACCUGCCCUUCAGAGGGGGACAACAGUUGGAAACGACUGCUAAUACCGCAUACUGCUGGUGGGUCUUGCGUCUGAUUAGCUAGUUGGAGGGGUCACGGCCCACCAAGGCGAUGCACAGUAGCCGGGAUGGGAGGUGGAACGGCCACCAUGGGACUGAGACACGGCCCAGACUCCUACGGGAGGCAGCAGUGGGGAAACUUCCGCAAUGGACGAAAGUCGGACGGAGCAACGCCGGGGGAGUGAUGACGGCCUUCGGGUUGUAAAGCUCUUUUAAUCGGGACGCGGUACCGGAAGAGAAAGCCACGGCUAACUACGUGCCAGCAGCCGCGGUAAUAG
rnacentral:rRNA from 1 species